AUUGAACGCUGGCGGCAGGCCUAACACAUGCAAGUCGAGCGGAUGAAGGGAGCUUGCUCCUGGAUUCAGCGGCGGACGGGUGAGUAAUGCCUAGGAAUCUGCCCGGUCGUGGGGGAUAACGUCCGGAAACGGGCGCUAAUACCGCAUACGUCCUGAUUUAGAAUGUGGGGGAUCUUCGGACCUCACGCUAUCAGAUUAUCUUAGGUCGGAUUAGCUAGUUGGUGGGGUAAAGGCCUACCAAGGCGACGAUCCGUAACUUGUCUGAGAGGAUGAUCAGUCACACUGGAACUGGGACACGGUCCAGACUCCUAGGGGAGGCAGCAGUGGGGAAUAUUGGACAAUGGGCGAAAGCCUGAUCCAGCCAUGCCGCGUGUGUGAAGAAGGUCUUCGGAUUGUAAAGCACUUUAAGUUGGGAGGAAGGGCAGUAAGUUAAUACCUUGCUGUUUUGACGUUACCAACAGAAUAAGCACCGGCUAACUUCGUG
rnacentral:rRNA from 1 species